ensembl:snRNA U6 U6 spliceosomal RNA
GUGCUCACUUCGGCAGCAAAUAUACUAAGAUUGGAACGAUAUAGAGAAAAUGAACAUGGUCCCUGCACAAGGAUGACAUGCAAAUUUGUGAAGCGUUCUAUAUUUUU